rnacentral:rRNA from 1 species
GACGUAGGUGGCGAACGUUAUCCGGAAUUAUUGGGCGUAAAGGGUGCGUAGGUGGUGUAGUAAGUUAUCGGUGGCAAAUCGAGGCUCAACCUCGUGGAAGUCGGUAAUACUGCUAUGCUAGAGGAUAGGAGAGGUUAACGGAACUCCCUGUGGAGCGGUGAAAUGCGUAGAUAUAGGGAAGAACACCAAUCAGGCGAAGGCAGUUAACUAUUCUAUUCCUAACAUUGAGGCAUGAAAGCGUGGGGAGCAAAACGG